UUUAAAUUAAGCCUAAAGAUUUUUCUGGGCCAGGCGUGGUGGCUCAUGCCUGUAAUCCCAGCACUUUGGGAGGUUGAGAUGGGCAGAUCGCUUGAGUUCAGGAGUUCGAGACAAGCCUGGCCAACAUGGUGAAACCCCAUCUCUACUAAAAAUACAAAAAUUAGCCAGGCGUGGAGGGGAGCACCUCUAAUCCCAGCUACUCAGGAGGCUGAGGCAGGAGAAUCACUUGAACCCAGGAGGCGCUGGUUGCAGUGAGCUGAGAUUGUGCCACUGCACUCCAGCCUGGGUGACAGAGCAAGACUCCAUCUC
rnacentral:lncRNA from 1 species